GGGUGAGGUAAUGUGAAAAGGUAAUGUAAAAUUGAGGAAUAAGGAAUGUUACUGAAGAAACAAUAGAAAUUUUUUCUGUUGGGUGGGUGGAGGAGCAGUGCCAACCUAGUUUUGCCCCUGCUAGUUGUUUGUGUUCAUAAAUAUAUCAUUUUACCUAUCUUCCAAGGCACAACCAGGUUCACUGCUGGCACUUGGUGAUUUCUAGUUACAAUGUCAAGUUCAUUUAUUAGCUCUGAUGGUGAAAUAACUUUAAUUUUACCCCCAUAAGUAGCAACUGCAUGCAGGGAUUUGGCGACUGUGUUUUCCAUCUUGCAAAUUUUGCUGUGAAUCUAGUUUAGUUAUCCAUACCAUCCAUACCAUGAACUAUUUGCUAUUCUAAUUAUUGAGGUAAUUUAGACAUCUUCAGUUCUUCACCAUGUUGAAGUGCCCUGGACUAAAGUCU
rnacentral:misc_RNA from 1 species